GCUCCACCAAGUCGAUAUUGGACAGGGGCAUGGGUCUUUUCCCAGCGGGUUCAUCAUCCCGUUUCACUAAGCCGCUGUGAUGCUUGAUCUUUUAUGAUGGAUUUCCCGAGCGGGUUCUUCUUCCCGCUUUGCCAGUGGUCGCUGUGAACCACGCUCAAUGCUCAACGGUGUAUCUCUCCUGCUCCGAUUCACGCCGUCGUUGUCGUAAGCCCAAGCUUCAGUCUUCGUCGCAAAUCAAGCCGUGACUGCGCCACCGUCUCCUCCAAGACGCGACCAAGCUUCCUCUGUGGCCGUGCUCAGCUCCACCGUAGUGCUCCGUCGUCAUCGUCGGCUCACGGCCUCUCUAUCUCCCGUGGCUGUGCUCAGAAUCUCCGCCGUGGAAGCUCCGGAAUCGCCAUCGGGAGUCGUCGCUUCAGUCUCCUCCGUGAAAGCUUGACCACGAGCUCCAAUGGUGAUCCACUGGCUGUCGUCCUUGAAACCUCCGCUUGCCACCACGAACUCCGCCACGGAUCAUCAUGUUCAGGCUAGCUCAGAUCCUCCGUAGUGACCUCAGCUCGAGCCGUGAAAGCAUGUCCUGAAGCUCCGGAGUCGUCGCUUCUCGCCGUCGCAGCCAUCGUCACGGAGAAGAGAAACAACAAUGGAGAUGUUCUAUCAAUUUGCGACCUUGGUCCCUGGAGUUUUUCUUGUUUACAAUUCAGCCCCAAUACUUCAUAAUUUGCAGAGAUACCUCUCAAAUCAACCCCUGGACUUUUUAUUGUGCGAUUUAACCCAAGCAAGUAUUCUGAAUUUGCAGUAUUGGUCCCUCGACUUUUGAUGGUUUCCAAAUCAGCCACAAAGUCUUGAAUGCACAAGAACAACCUCACAUUUUGGCUCCAAACUUCCAUUUGUGCAAUCCAACCCCUAUGAUAUGCAAAUGAGUAUGCAAAUGCAACAUAAAGACCUAAAUACAAUCUAAAAUCAUUUUAUUCACUCAGCUCUUUUAUUUUUCUUUUCCCCACUCUUUUCAUGUUUUUUUUUAUUCUAAAGGGGAUUCUAUUUAUAAACACAAGAGCCCUUUUUUCUUUUAGAUCCCUAGUGGCUUUUUUCCUUUUCUCACUCUUUUUGGUUCAUUUCUUUUCACUUUCACUCACAUCCCAAUCCCAAGAUCAAAAGAAUUUAAGUUCACAAACCCAACAACCAUCCUAGAGGCUAGCCUAAAUGAGGUCCUAAUGCUAGCCAAAGAUGAGAACAACUCAUUGUCGCUCCUAAUACUCUCAAAAUUUUGCACAUGACAUGCUAUCAAUAAAAGGCCUCACUCAAGCAAAUUAAUGUUGGUUUCAAAGAAUGGUGAGGGUUAAUGGGUAUGAAGUGUCAUUUGGGUUAACAAAGAUUGGUACAAAGAGAGAAAGAUAACCCAAAUGUGUAUAAUAUCCAUGAUCAAGUAUGCAAAUGCCCAUAUGCAAGAGAGAUUAAGUUCAUUAAGCCCUAGUUCAUUUGGAGUUUGUUUCAAGAACAAUGCCAAUCAUCAAGCAAACAACAUGUUUCAAGAAGAGUUUUCAAGGCUCGAAGCUUACAAGCUUUUUCAAGAGAUGCUUAAGCUACUUGAUAUGUUUAGCUAGGAUGUCAAAUUGAGUUCUAGACAUGUGUUCUUUACAAGGUUUCUCCCAAUGCAUGAAUGCAAUCUAAAUGCUUCUAGACUCAAUCCUAAAGAUUCAAAUGGAUCAAGUGAAACUACAUGAAGAUUUUUAAAAAAAAAUCAAAUUUUUAUGAAUUUUCUAUGCAAAUAAGUAUUCACAAUGCAAUGCAUGAGACUCAUGGCAAGUAAACAAAACAGAAAAUGAUGUGAGAUAGUAGACUCUCCCCCAAACUUACUUCACACAGUCCCUUGUGUGAGAGUGAGCUCAAAGAAGAGAUCCAAGGGAAAGAAAUAAACAUGAAAAGUAAAUAUGUACAAGGUUGGAGUGACACUUACUUGGAGUUAUUGGCUGAAUUGGGUGGUAGAGGACCCUUGGCCUCGGGUUUGUUUCACCAUGGACAUGGACUGAAGGGGAGAAGGCAAGUGUCUAGAGUCACAAUGCUUCACAUCAGCCAAGGCAAGUAAGACUUGACCUGAAAAAUCUCAACCAUGCUUAUUAAAUAACCUAAAAAGAGAAGAUAAAAAAAAAAAUAUAUACAAUGGAUAAACAUGGAAUUUCCUCCCAAGUGAGCUUGUUUUAAGUCUCUAGCUUGACUUUGUGUGCUUGUUAAUCAUAGGUAUCAAAAGGUUGAGCCAAUGCACCUUUGGUCCUUCUCCUACAAGAACAAGGAACCAAGUAUGCAAAGGAGCACACUACUAUCCAUAGAAAAUAGACAGAUUUUUCCUCAAAGAGCUUCACUAAAGAUGUGACAUGAAUUAUGAAAUGCUCCUUGAGGUUCAGAUGGUCAUGAGAAUCAAAUGCAUAUGGUGGAAACACACAGUCAACUACAGGCUCAAACAAGGUUUUAACAAAGUAGUCAACUCUAUCUCCAUCAAUCAAGUAAUACACAAUGCUCACAUUCUCAUGAUAAUUUUUGACAAGGGGGUUUUCUAUCCUAAGCAAGAGCAUAUCCACAUCAAGUUCAUCCCCUAAAUCAGCAAGUUCAAGAAGAGGUCUAGGUUCAUUAAGCAUCAAAAACUCAUACUCAAGAUCAAUUGAAGCACAAAGAUAGUUCUUGUCAAAACAAACUUCAAUAUGAUCUCUAGCAAGCUUUUCUAUUCUCAACUCAUCUAGCUUCCUAGUUUCACAUAUUAGAUCAAGACAUUCAUUUAUGAGCACAAGAGAAUCAAGAUCAUGGGCAAUAUUCUCACCACAAGGCAAGCAAAUUUCUUCAAGUUGAAGUUCUAGAGUGGAAAUGCUUGUACCUUCCAGCUGGGGUGGUGGAACCCAAUACAUUACCUCUUUAAGGUCAUAAGCAACAUUGAACUCAUACUGUGUAACCUCCCUUCCUUCAAGCUCUGAUCGAUCCCUAAUAAGCUCCACCCGGAUCCUUCGUGCUAGGGAUGUCUUUGCUGACUCCGGAUACUUCUUCUGAAGCUCAUUUAACUUCACAAGCUGUGCUGGUGUGAGUAUACUUGCAUCAAAGGGUGGUGGCUCCACAUACACAUAUGGCUCAUCUUCGAUGUGAUCUUCAAAUGUGUCUUCCUCUUCUUGUGGCUUCUCAAAAUAGCUUGAAGCCAUCACUGCAAGAACAAAAGCACUAGAAUAAAUAGUUAGUAACUAUACAAAAGCAAAACAAAACAAGAAAAUAAAGCUUAGUCUCAAGAAAGAUUGAAAUCCCAACAACAAAUCCCUUUGGUAAAGGAUGUUAAAAGCUUAGGAGAGUUGGUUCAGGCAUUUCAUCAAACACCUUCCGGGUAUGAAAUGCCUAGAGCUCAACUUUAGAGAGGCCAACUCUAGAGUUGCAUUAAAAGCACUCUAAUAGCAAGGAACAAGAUGGAUCUAUACUAAAACACUUUAGAUCUAGUUUAAUCACCCUAAUCUACCUUAACCCAUGAAUCCAAAAUGUGUCUACUCAAUAAUCUCCAUGAGAAACCUUAAACCCAUGUAAGGAUCAAGGCUAAUCAUGUUAAUGAGUAAGAGAAACACAAUUAUAAGAUGAAGUACUUCCUCAAAUUAUAGAAAGAUUCAAGCUUUUACAAAGUCUUGAGAGAAAAUGAGAUAAAAAUAAAGUUUCUAGGUCUAAAUCUAUUUAUAGAGGUGUACAAGUCGUGCUGGUUUAAUUGAAUUAAACCGGGUCAAACCGGAAUAAACCGGUCAACAUCUCAAAAUCGCAUCCACAGCGGCCACCGCAUCCCGCUCCACCAAGUCGAUAUUGGACAGGGGCAUGGGUCUUUUCCCAGCGGGUUCAUCAUCCCGUUUCACUAAGCCGCUGUGAUGCUUGAUCUUUUAUGAUGGAUUUCCCGAGCGGGUUCUUCUUCCCGCUUUGCCAGUGGUCGCUGUGAACCACGCUCAAUGCUCAACGGUGUAUCUCUCCUGCUCCGAUUCACGCCGUCGUUGUCGUAAGCCCAAGCUUCAGUCUUCGUCGCAAAUCAAGCCGUGACUGCGCCACCGUCUCCUCCAAGACGCGACCAAGCUUCCUCUGUGGCCGUGCUCAGCUCCACCGUAGUGCUCCGUCGUCAUCGUCGGCUCACGGCCUCUCUAUCUCCCGUGGCUGUGCUCAGAAUCUCCGCCGUGGAAGCUCCGGAAUCGCCAUCGGGAGUCGUCGCUUCAGUCUCCUCCGUGAAAGCUUGACCACGAGCUCCAAUGGUGAUCCACUGGCUGUCGUCCUUGAAACCUCCGCUUGCCACCACGAACUCCGCCACGGAUCAUCAUGUUCAGGCUAGCUCAGAUCCUCCGUAGUGACCUCAGCUCGAGCCGUGAAAGCAUGUCCUGAAGCUCCGGAGUCGUCGCUUCUCGCCGUCGCAGCCAUCGUCACGGAGAAGAGAAACAACAAUGGAGAUGUUCUAUCAAUUUGCGACCUUGGUCCCUGGAGUUUUUUUUGUUUACAAUUCAGCCCCAAUACUUCAUAAUUUGCAGAGAUACCUCUCAAAUCAACCCCUGGACUUUUUAUUGUGCGAUUUAACCCAAGCAAGUAUUCUGAAUUUGCAGUAUUGGUCCCUCGACUUUUGAUGGUUUCCAAAUCAGCCACAAAGUCUUGAAUGCACAAGAACAACCUCACAUUUUGGCUCCAAACUUCCAUUUGUGCAAUCCAACCCCUAUGAUAUGCAAAUGAGUAUGCAAAUGCAACAUAAAGACCUAAAUGCAAUCUAA
rnacentral:lncRNA from 1 species